rnacentral:rRNA from 1 species
AAUAGAUACCCUGGUAGUCCACGCCGUAAACGAUGAGUGCUAAGUGUUAGAGGGUUUCCGCCCUUUAGUGCUGCAGCUAACGCAUUAAGCACUCCGCCUGGGGAGUACGGUCGCAAGACUGAAACUCAAGGGAAUUGACGGGGGCCCGCACAAGCGGUGGAGCAUGUGGUUUAAUUCGAAGCAACGCGAAGAACCUUACCAGGUCUUGACAUCCUCUGACAACUCUAGAGAUAGAGCGUUCCCCUUCGGGGGACAGAGUGACAGGUGGUGCAUGGUUGUCGUCAGCUCGUGUCGUGAGAUGUUGGGUUAAGUCCCGCAACGAGCGCAACCCUUGAUCUUAGUUGCCAGCAUUUAGUUGGGCACUCUAAGGUGACUGCCGGUGACAAACCGGAGGAAGGUGGGGAUGACGUCAAAUCAUCAUGCCCCUUGUGACCUGGGCUACACACGUGCUACAAUGGAUGGUACAAAGAGCUGCGAACCCGCGAGGGUAAGCGAAUCUCAUAAAGCCAUUCUCAGUUCGGAUUGU